GUUACGGAUUUAAAACUAGUGUAAACAGCGUGUCAAAAUAGAAGCGUGCACACUAAAAUGCGAACUAUUUAAGUGCACUGUUUAAUGCGGUAGAAUAAAGUUCAGGACGCAGCCGUAGUUCUUUCGCUUUUGUUUUUUUUUUUUGGUUGGGUGUAGAUCAUAAUACAUGAAUUAAGAUUUUGUGGUUUGUCAAAACAAGUGAUAGUAUCAGAUUAUACCACGGUGCUGUUGAAUUUUGAUGAACUGGUCAGAAAAUGAAUCAAUGUUGGUUAAUUCUCCACAAUGGCGGCUUUGACAAUAGUUCCAGCUGCAAGGUUUAUAUUAAUGCGCUCGUUCUAAUACGUUAUCGUUUCUAUGGUAACAGCUCAGUCACUGGGAGUUGUAUAGUUGAAGCUCCACUCUUUGCUGUGGUGAAAUUUUCUUUAAGGAGACAUUUAUGGAAGGAAUCCCCAUUGUCAGCACUUCGUAACACUCUAAGCCGCAGGACAGUGACGUAAAGGAAAUUCUGAAGAAUUAAAAAGAGAGCCUCCGAGGUCAGUGCUAAUGAUGCGGGACUCCGUCUUCAACUGCUGUUUUAACCCAACUCAUCCUCCAGGUGUAGUGGAAGAGACACAGUGGCACGGCAGCAGAGCACAGGCCCUUUCCCCAAAUAACCAGCGCUUUCUUAUCUUUUUUGAUUUUGACGAGACGCUUGUGGACGAGUGCAGCGAUGAUGCCAUGGUCACAGUGGCUCCCAGUGGUUCUCUGCCCUCCUGGCUUAAAGACACGUACAGGCCGGGCAGGUACAACGAGUACAUGCAGCGAGUUUUGACCUACCUUGCUGAGCAGGGGGUCACUCCUUCAACUGUCCGUAACACUAUAGAGCGUCUUCCGCCAUGCCCAGGCAUCCCUGCCCUGCUGCGCUUCCUGAGGUCAUGCCCAUCACAGGACUUUGAGAUCAUUUGUGUAUCAGAUGCCAACACGGUGUUCAUCGAAACAUGGCUCCAGAGCCUCGGCUUUCACACGCUCUUCACGCGCAUCUUCACGAACCCAGCUCAUUUUGAUGAGAAUGGACAACUUCAGCUGCGCCCCUUCCACUCCCACGAUUGCCUGCGGUGUCCGAUGAACAUGUGCAAGGCUGAAAUUGUGCGACGCUACACGGCUCAGAGGGUGCACGAAAGAGGAGGCAGGCGAUACCAAAGGGUGCUGUACGUAGGUGAUGGUGCAAACGACUUCUGCCCAUCGCUGACGCUGGGACCAGGUGAUGUGGCGUUUCCUCGGCACGACUUCCCCAUGCACAGGCUGAUCCAGGAGAUGUACGAGGCCAAACCUGGAGAGUUCAAAGCCACUGUGGUGCCUUGGCGCAGUGGAGAGGAAAUCAUCAACAAGCUCAGGAAAGUCAUGGAAGAACAGGUUUAACCAUGGCUGAAAUACAUAAACAAGGACAUAAAUAAAAACAAAUUCUCAGCACAGUUACUUUUAAUAAUCAUGAUGCACGCAGAUACACCAACAAGGAGAUGAUAUGUUAGUGGGAGCUGCUGUUAUACUUGCACAAAACCAAGGUUGUCUUUUCAGUUUCUGUGGCAGAAAUUCAUACUUAUAAAAUUGUAUGAACAUCAAUGUAUGAAGAGAUGGAAAAAGUUGUCUGAAAGAACUCAUGGCUUAUGUGAAAUAUGGUCAGAACCUAUGUUUCACACUUAAAGAAGAUUUCUCAAUGGUUUUUAAAUAUUUAAACUGAUUCCACUUCCAUAAACACUCUUAAAAACACUUUUAGAGUUCUACAUACAACCUUUAUGGUUUUCCUUGGAUGAACAAACUGAAACAACCAGUAUGUUCUAGUAUAGAAGAAUUUCCUUUGGGGGCGAGCGAAGACUGAGUGUGAGAAUUAUGUUAUGUAUUCCUGCCUUGCACCCAGUGUUCCCACAAUAGGCUCAGGAUCCUAGGAUCAGGAUAAAGUGGUUACUGAAAAUAAAUGAAUGUUGGGGUGAAGAAGGUGGAAGGAAUUAAAAAACAAAAAGGUUGCAGGGAGCCUGGAGGCUGUCCCAGGGGACUCGGGACAGAAGGCGGAGGACACCCUGGACAGGGUGGCAACACCUCACAGUGCACACUCAUACAUAUUCACACACUAUGGACAAUUUAGAGAUGCCAAUCAGUCUACAACGCAUGUCUUUGGACUGGGGAGGAAACCGGAGUAAUCAGAAUCAAAUCCCCAACAGAAAGGUGUGAGGGAAAUGUGCAAACCACUAAGCCACUAUGCCCCCAUAAAUACUAACAUUAAUAGAGUAAUAUAAGUGGCUGUGAUGUUCACAGGUUUCCAUAAGAAAUACAGUAUAAAUACAGUACACACUAUUACAAACAGCCAGAAAGAGGAUGUCUAAUUGUUCUCGGAAGAUAAUCUUGAAGCUCAGGGAAAGUAGAUUAAAAAUUGUAAAUCUACAAAAUGACGCAAAUCUGUAUGUAACAUUUUAGCUUAAUCUCCACCCACCACAUUUUUAGCAUAUGUGUGAUUACCACAGACAAAAAUUUCUUCUGUUUCUAUUUCUGUUGUUACACUGUAAUAAGAAAAGAACAGAAAAUUUGUUGAAGUUUCAAGUUAACAGGCUUUCUGUUGUUUUCUCAGUACAAUGAAACUUUUUUAAUUAUCUGUGGUCGUCAGCAGUUAAUUUAUUUUCAUAAUCUGCUCGUAAUGUAUAGACAAUUUAGACAAUAAAUAAUUAGUAGACAAUAACCAAAUGUUA